rnacentral:rRNA from 1 species
UAAAGCUGAUCUGCUCUGGGUAAGUCGGGGCCUAAGGCGAGGUCGAAAGACGUAGUCGAUGGACAACAGGUUGAAAUUCCUGUACCGCAUAUUAUCAGAACUGUGGGGACACAGAACCGAAGAAGAACCCGGGAAUGAAAAGACCGGGGCAAGCACUGGACUGGCUGGAAUGGCAAAUCCACCCAGCAACAGGAAGGUGUGACGCGUACCGAACACAAGUAGGGAAGUCUUCGUAGGGGCUGUCAAGAAAAGCCGCUAUUGUGUAAUAUGUGCCCGUACCGUAAACCGACACAGGUGGAUGAGGAGAGAAUCCUAAGGCCGGCGGGAGAAGCAUUGUUAAGGAACUCGGCAAAAUGACCCCGUAACUUCGGGAUAAGGGGUGCCUGGGAAACCAGGCCGCAGAGAAUAGGCUCAAGCAACUGUUUAGCAAAAACACAGGUCUAUGCAAAACCGAAAGGUGAGGUAUAUGGGCUGACGCCUGCCCGGUGCUGGAAGGUUACGAGGAGGGGUUAGCGGCAACGCGAAGCUCUGAAUUUAAGCCCCAGUAAACGGCGGCCGUAACUAUAACGGUCCUAAGGUAGCGAAAUUCCUUGUCGGGUAAGUUCCGACCCGCACGAAAGGCGUAAUGAUUUGAGCGCUGUCUCAACAAUGCACCCGGUGAAAUUGAAGUACCAGUGAAGAUGCUGGUUACCUGCGCCAGGACGGAAAGACCCCAUGGAGCUUUACUCCAGCUUGAUACUGGGAUUCGGUACUGCAUGUACAGGAUAGGUGGGAGGCUAUGAAGAUAGGACGCCAGUCUUAUCAGAGCCGAUGUUGGGAUACCACCCUUGCGGUAUUGGAUUUCUAACCUGCAGCCAUAACCUGGCUGGGGGACAAUGUCAGGCGGGGAGUUUGACUGGGGCGGUCGCCUCCGAAAGGGUAUCGGAGGCGCUCAAAGGUUCCCUCAGAAUGGACGGAAACCAUUCGAAGAGUGCAAAGGCAUAAGGGAGCUUGACUGCGACACCGACGGGUGGAGCAGGUAGGAAACUAGGACUUAGUGAUCCGGUGGUAUAAAGUGGGAUUGCCAUCGCUCAACGGAUAAAAGCUACCCUGGGGAUAACAGGCUUAUCACUCCCAAGAGUUCACAUCGACGGAGUGGUUUGGCACCUCGAUGUCGGCUCAUCGCAUCCUGGGGCUGUAGUAGGUCCCAAGGGUUGGGCUGUUCGCCCAUUAAAGCGGUACGCGAGCUGGGUUCAGAACGUCGUGAGACAGUUCGGUCCCUAUCCGGCGUGGGCGUAGGAUAUUUGAGAGGAGCUGUCCUUAGUACGAGAGGACCGGGAUGGACUGACCUCUGGUGUAUCUGUUGGCUAUCAAAGCCAUGGCAGAGUAGCCAAGUCGGGAAGGGAUAAACGCUGAAGGCAUCUAAGCGUGAAGCCCCCCUCAAGAUGAGAUAUCCCAUCGCAAGAGUAAGACCCCUUGAAGACGACGAGGUAGAUAGGGCAGAGGUGGAAGCAUGGCAACAUGUGCAGCUGACUGUCACUAAUAGGUCGAGGGCUUAACCAG